rnacentral:piRNA from 1 species
CCCAGGGGAAGAAGUGGAGGCUCAGGCU